GUCCCCAGGAUGAUGGUCCCCGUCCGGACGUGGCAGCAUCCGCAGCACCGGGUGGUGUACAGCCGGUCGCGGCUGGGCUUGAAGUGAUGCAUGUCCUCCACCAGUGUCGGGAGAAACAUCGGGAGAGUCGCGGUUCGACAGCCGGAGAGAAGAGCCUCGCAGCGGGGGAAACCGUGACGAGCAAACGGACUCGCGGAAACGCCCACAACUUCAGCCGCUGCCACCGCGAGGAGCUGCGAGACGGCGCUGAUCAAAACAAACCCUCUGACGGGGAGGAAGAGGCUGUACCACCGCUCUGUGGGGUGGGGGGGGACUCCACCAAUGGAGAGGACACAGGCCAGCGGUGUGUGAGGAGCUAACCCCUUGUUCUACCUUAAGAAGUGUCAGCUUUAACUCCUGGAAGGGCAGCUGUCUGGUUGAAGCUUCAUAAGAGGUUUGUGUGAAGACUAGAUUGUCGAAUUGUGUGUGUAAGAUGUUCCUGUGCGUGCUGACAUUGUGACCUUGACGUCUAUUAAAUACCUUUUCCUCAUUACUGCUGCAUUUAAUCACUGUACAGACAGAAGAGCCCUCAGUUAAAUGUAGUUCUUACAGUUUAUGAUGCAUUUACAUGGUGCAUUUCAAUAAAUAACUUUGCACUAAAUCAACUAACUCAAACCUCAUAAUUACUAAUUCAUACAAACUAAUACACACUGUGCAGUCUACUCUCGAUGUUUCUACAUAAAAAAAAAGACAUCGAGGAUUAAAAGUUAUACAACUAAUUUAUUAGGAAUUAUACAAUAGAAAAAUAUUAAAUAUUUUAUAGCAGAUACAGAGCAUGGUCAACAUGUGAUACAUUACAGCAUCAAGGUAUCAUCACGUCAUUAUAAACAAUAUUUAAUACACAACCUUAUAUAAGUUUCCCUGGAUUCAAAGUAAUAUUUCAGUAAUUGAGGUUUCCCCCCGUCACACAGUGCGUCACAUAGUUGCUGGUAAAACCAGGUCCUUCAGCAGAUCAGACUUUGGUGUUUUAACAUUAUUUAUAAUAUAAACAACAGAAUGACAGUGAACCAACAAACACAACACCAGGAUCCCCUAACUCAUGCAGAUACAUGGGAUAUUUAUUAUUAUCUAUUAUUCUAUUAUUUACACCCAUCCUGUUUCCUAUUAUGACACAUCAAAAUGUCAUUUCCUGACAAAUGUGACUCUCGGUCUUAUCAUUUUAGGAUAAAGUGCUACAUAAAUGUGUGCUGAAAGAUACAUAAUGAAAGAUUCAAACAAAGCAAUAGUUUUUUAAAGGUCACUAUCGGACAAGUACGAUUAUUCCGAGCAUCCGAUUUCCACAAAUACAUUUUUUGCAAAACACAAUAUCUCUUAAAAUACAAAAGAAGUGGCCUCAUUGGCAGCUGCAGCAGUUUCUUAAUAAACGACACCAAACAUAAAAGUAAUUUAGUCUUAACAGACAAUUCUUCAUAUGUUACCCUAUCAAUUAAUAAAUACCAAUAAACAGUGGACACAUUUGCAUUCUGCACCCCCACUCUCUCCACCAAACAUCUGAGGACAGAACACAUUUGCUGUAGCUGCAGAUGUCGGAUAACAUCAAUAUCAGUGAGAUAGUUUAUCAGGGGAGUUAAUCAUCUCCUUCCCUGUGGGUCUGCUGGCCCUGAAAGUAUCCUAAAUUAUCUUUGUUGCGCCACUUGUAGAUUAAUAUUGCCAUCAGUAUCAAUGCCAGUACCAUCCCUGUUACUCCUCCUGCGAUGAUACCUGUGGAUAUAAAUCACUGAGUUAGAAUAACUGGGGCAGCUGAAUGGAAUGCAGCCGUCGCUCAUCUCAUUCUUUACAGCUUCUGCAUAAAAUGGUGCAAAGUACCUCCGACGAUCUGUGGUUUCUCCAAGAAGCUCUUGCUUUUUGGCACGAUGACGUAUUCUGACCUCACGUCUCUGUCAGCCCACAGAGGUCUGUCGAGGAGCCGCCCUUCGCUGCCGGGACGAUCCAUGACGUCGGUAACCUCAUCAGAUGAGGCUGCAUGAGUAGUUUUGGAAAUAAUAAUGAGAUUCAUACAGGCAAAGCGCAUCAUGAUCAUAGACUGUGUAUAAAACAUGCUCGACCAAUCGCGUAUCAGACUUUCACAUGGUUUCUUUAUCAUCUAAUAAUUAAUUAAAACCAAGGUUGACGUGGACAUGUCCCAUCCACUAGCUUGAAGAAGGCGGGGUUUAUGACCUAUACUGCAGUCAGCCACCAGGAGGCGAUCGAGACAUGUCGUGAAGACGGUUGGCUUCACUUGUGAGUAGCUGUCAUAUCGUCCAUCUUGAUAUGAAGUCUAUGAUCAUUACGUAUUUUCUGUAAACCCUUUAUUUUAUAUUAUAUGAUUUCAGAUAUCAUGAUAAAAAAACACAUAAGCAGUAGCCAUUAUGUGUAGGACAUUUUUUAUUAUUCCUUAUAACUAGUGUGACAAUUUUAAAGCAAGUAUACAAAGGAUCACAAAGGAUUACCGUGCUCUGACCCGUCCCCUGAACCAGACGUGCCCAGGUCAUAGCCUGAUCCCUCCGAGUCUUCAAGAGCUGUGGCAAUCUGAUUCGAGAGAGAGCAAGGAUAUUUUAACUCAAGAAAGACGUCUGAACAAUAGCACCACCUGUGCUGCUUCCUGCCCUGUUGUUGGGACACAUGAAGACAGACGAGCGGCGAUGGAAGCUUAUCAACGUUGUUUCCAUAAAAAAGCAAUAAAGAGCUGAAUCAUGUUCUAGAUACAAAGUCCCGUUGAGGAGUCACGCUCCAAACAACCGGCUGUAGCUGAUCGACUGACGCAGGUGAUCUCUGUUAUCACCAGUAAAAAAGACAUGAGUAGAAUAUAUAGCUCCAAUUAAAGUGAUGAUGGCCCUCCACCCCUUUGACAAAGAAGCAAAGGAGCCAGAGCACAGAAGUUAUUGGGAGCAACAAUUUGAACAGAAUAUAUACAGCAAAGAUAUCCAUCUGGUGAUGCUAUUAUUAAUGUAGUUAAAUAAAUGCAUGUAUUGGGAUCAAAGUAAUUGAUUCGAUUUAUUUUAAUGUGUUUCAACCUUGA